rnacentral:lncRNA from 1 species
UAGCUUCUACAUCACCAACUUUCAGGUAUUUUAUAAAAAUGGUGUCUUCUUCAUCAUAUUUUUUUAAAUGAUUUAUUUAAAUUUUUGCAAAAAUUGUAUGAAAUCAACUGUAAUACUCUAUUUGCACUUUAUAGGCCAAAAGAUUUGUAGACUAUUUGGCUACUUUGGUCCUCUAAAUGAAGUUUUCGUGCCUCAUGAUUAUUAUAUUAAGUAAGCUUAUUUACUCUUUCUUAAACACAACUUAUAUAUAGCUUCUAUGUGUUUUUUUAAUUUAAAGUUUUAAUUUUCCAGUUCAAUGUGUUAUAUGUGAAGUUGUAUAGUUCUCCAAAUUUAUCAUUUAGUUUUGGUCAACAUGAUGGCAUAAUUUCUUACUUUCAGAUUACUACUUUUAAAUAUAGUUUUUGUUUCUCAUGUACCCAGUAUAAUUUUUAAUUAUUUUUCACUUCAGAGCAAUUGUUUUUCCUGCUCUGCUACCCUGUGUUAAGUAAAGUGAGUUUACUUCAUUUGAAGCCAUUUUAUUCAGUCUCAUGGAACUAAACUCUUAGAUGCAGCAUGCAGCCGCCUCAGUUGAAGAAAAUUUGGGACCGUAUUAUAUUUGAUUUGAUUUUUCGGUUUCAACUAUUGUGAUAUUCGAUGAUCUUUGAUCUUAAAAUUGAAGAGGCAACAAAAGAGCUUAUAACUGGAUAAGUAUAUAUGUGUUCUUUUUGUCAGAAGAUCAAUUUUAAGUCCAAUUAUUGUAUGUGCUGUAAAUUGAUCUUAAAUUUCAAUUAUAUCCUUGCCUUCAACUUUAACCCGUGCUUUGUAGUUUGAUGAAAUAUUUCAUUGAUUUCUUAUCUCUGCAUUUCUUAUGUUGCUAAUUUUUUCAAAACCAUAGAUUAAAAGUAUAGUGAUUUGAUAGUUUUGAUUUUAACCUUAUGUUUAACCCUCAUAAUUUAAGAUGUCAUACCUGCAACAACUUUUCUAUGUCACACUUUAGUUUUAGCUAUUUUUUCCAAGACUAGAGCUUGAAUUUCCAAGAGAAUUAGACUAACCUCAUAUUAAUAUUUUACAAUGUUAAGUGCUAUUUUUUGACACCCUCAUUGUCUAAGAUUGCAGGUUUGAGUUCAAAGGAUGGUAACUAAGAAGAUGAUGGAGCAAAAUUAACAUGUUUCCUUUGAGCACGUGUAUUAUUGUGAGUAAAAUAUUUUACAUUCCCCACUCUCUGACAUUGAUAUAGUAAACUCUUAUG